rnacentral:lncRNA from 10 species
CCUUCCCCCGCAAGUCCCCAAAGUCCAUUAUCAUUCUUAUGCCUUUGCAUCCUCAUAGCUUAGCUCCCACUUAUAAGUGAGAACACAUGACAUUUGGUUUUCCUUUCCUGAGUUAUUUCACUUAGAAUAAUGGUCUCAAGCUCCAUCCAGGUUGCUGCAAAUGCCAUUAUUUCAUUCUUUUUUAUGGCAGAGUAAUAUUCCAUGGUGUGUGUGUGUUUAUAUAUAGGUAUCUCACAUUUUCUUUAUCCACUCAUUGGUUGAUGGAUAUCUACUAUCUUUAACAGAUGGUUCCAAGGUCAUUGCAAAAGAAGAUGCAAAGAGGAUGGAAAAUUGAAGGUUCCUAUGCCUCAGAAGGCCAUGAGGAAGGACUCUGGAAGAUGUCUGAAUACUAGAAACCCCGAGAGCCAGAAGAAUGCAUUCGUCUGUGGUUCAAGCUAAGUAUGGGUAGUGCCAAGAUGGUUUCUGAUUUGGUCUCCACCACAUACAGUGAUUCCAAAGGGGGGUAAGACAUCCUUCCUCCUGCCCCAGUGUCAGCCCUUUGCAGUCUAUCUCGGUCUGCUUUUCAAGUACCCCUAAUAUCUUGGCACUUCCUCAUGGUGAAAAGUCUCCUUCCUCCCCUUCCUGAACCCAUCCAUGUGCCCAAUGCCCAAAGGACAUUUGGAGGGAUGCACUUAAAAUCAAAUUCGUCCACUGUCUAUUUGUUGAGAUAAGGUGUGGUGACAACAGCAGUCCAAGGGGACUACUAGCAGCCUCAGAAUCCAGCCACCCAGCCCUAGCCUUGUCAGGGCCACUCCUGGGCUGGGCACACUUGUAGGUGGGGAGGGAAGGGCAGCAUUGUCAGAGAAGACAGACCAAGCUGCAGCUGCCCUACUGGGAGGCUGGGAGGCCUGAAUAGCUUCACAGCGCUGGGCCCUGCUUGCUGAAUGGGGGCUUGGCUCCUCCCUGGCGGUGGUCCGGAAUGGAUGACAUUUUCAUUGCAAGCUAACAAGGGGAGAAAUCCAAUUACUUCACAAAGAGGCUCCUGAAGGGGCCUCACAGCCUGGAGAAAGAAGGGGAGGAGAAGAGGGGGAGAGGGAAGGAAGAAGGGGAGUGUGUGUGUGUGUGUGUGUGUGUGUGUGUGUGUGUGUGUGUGUGUGUGUGUGUGUGUAGGGAGGCUCCCACCCAGACCAGGAAAGGAACAAAGCCCUCAGGCCUCCAGGACAUGGCCUCCUGCAUACAGGCAGGGAGAUUGGAACUGGGGGGCUUUUAAUUGAUUUCCAGUGGGUCAGAGGGUCUGCCUGGAAACUCCAGGUCCCUGAGAGCUCCAGGCAAUCAGGCUUCCUCCCUGUGGAACAACCUGAGUGGUGCAGAAGAGGCCCCAGCCCUAUUUCUCUGCCCCAUCAGACUACAGUUUCCCUGACCUGAGUCAUCAAAGGCCCAUUAUACACUUUUUUACCUUUGUUGCAUCCACCUAAACUAUUAAUCCCUUUUUGAAACAUUUAUUUAAAGUGUAUUAUUUAAGCUCAGUAUUUUGGAAGUUUAUAUCCUAACUGCAAAUAGAAAAAGUAGAAGCUAAUUCUAAAUAGAAAUACAAUUCAAAUAGCCCAAUGUUGUUGAACCUCAGGGAGCUGAAAGCCUUGGGCUCUCUGGGGUGGAGGGUGGGAGUGAUGGGAUGGUGGGGUUAGCAAAUGUUUGCAAUCCAGAUUUCUCCCAGGUCUAAUCCAGGAGGAAGAAGAGGAUUGAAAAGGGAACACCUCCCUCCCGCAGCGGUUCAAAAGCUGCUCCAGUAACUGAGGCAAGGGGAUGAAGAGCUCUGAAGGGAGAGGCUUGAAUCACAUACUCAUCCCUGUGGUCUGGAGGGCACUGUGACUGGUAACUGAAGAAGAACCACAUGGAAUUGGGGAGGAGCAGUUCUCCAAAGGAAGGUGAGUGCUGUAAUCAGAAAGGGGGGAAAGGAUCGGGGGCAGACAAACACAAAAAAUGCCACUACAGACAGUGUGGAGGCAAAACUAGACUACUGAUCCUUGAUUCUUUCCAUUGCAUUAUGGUGUUGUAGCUAGAUGAUCAAACCACAUAUCCCUCAGAAGACAGGUAUGAUCCUAAGAUAGUCCAGUCCUCAUUAUUGUACAGGAGCUGCAUAGGCAGAACAUUUCCUUACUCCUGAUGUUUCUUUCUAGACUUCUGCUUCCAGUUGUAAGGGAAGCCCUAUAAUUGAGACAGACUUACCAUUCUCCUGUAAACAGAAAACUUGACAAAACAUAUGAAAUAACAGUUUUCAGACAAUGGACUGUGAUCCUUGAGAGAAUGGAAACAAAUGAGAUAUGCUCAACAAUUUAGAGAAAAGCAUGAACAUAAUGAGGAAAUAAAUUGAAGAUAAGAAGACUCAAACAGAACUCCUAAGGGAGGAAAAAUACAGUGUUUAAAAUGAAAAUGUUACCAGAUAGGAUGAAAAGCUAAUUAGAUACUGCAAAAGAAAAGAUCAGUGAACUUGAAGACACACCUUAGAAACGAUCUCAAACGAAGCACAGAGAGGAAAAAAAGAGUGAGAUAAAAACCAAUAUCACUGAUCUAUGGGACAAUGUCAAGCAGUCCGACAGACAUAACACUGGAGUCGCAAAAGGGGAUGUGGGGGCAGAAAAAACAUUUUGAAAAAAUAAUGGGCAAACAUUUUCCAAAUUUGAUGACAGCUAUAAAUCCAGAUCAAAGAAGCUCAAGGAACCCCAAGCAUGAUAAAUAAAAAUAAAAUCACACCAGGGAGCAUUACAUUUAAAUUGCUGAAAGCCAGUGAUAAAGAUAAAAUCUUAAAAGCAGUCAGAGGAAAAUUAAGAAAAGACAUUAUGUACCUAGGAACAAAGAUAACAAUGACAGCAGACUACUCAUCAGAAACUAUGCAAGCUGGAAGACAAUGAAACAUCUUUAAAUGCUGAAAGAAGAAAACCCCAAAAACCUAUUAACCUAGAAUUAUGUUCACAGUGAAAGUACCUUUCAAAAAUUAAGAUGAAAUAAAAUUUUUUUAAAAAUGCAAGCUAAAGUAGUAGAAUUUGUUGCCAGCAGACUUGCUCUAUAAGAAACAUUAAAGGAAAUUCUUUAGGAGAAGGAAAAUGGUAUCAGGUAGAAACUUGGAUCUACAGAAAGGAGUGAAGAAAGCAGGAAAUGACAGAGAUGUGGGUAAAUAUAAAAUAUGUUGAUUGUGUAAAGCAAAAGUAAUAAUGAUAUAUUUGGCAGUUUAUAAUACAUGUAGAAAGUGUAUGAUGACAACAGCACAAAGGAUAAGAGGGAAAAAUGGAAGUAUGUUGUAAGGUUCUUAAGGUAUACAUGAAGUAUAUAAUAUAUUAUUAUAAUCUUAUUUGAUGAUAGACUGUGAUAAGUUAAGCAAGUAUAUUGUAAGCCCUAGAGCAACACUAAGAGAGUAAUGAAGAGGCAUAGCGACUAAGCCAAUAAUAGAGAUAAAAUGAAAUCUUGAUGUUUCCUUCUGUGUGUAGGGACCCCAUUGGUAUAACACACCUGGCUUCUCCCUGCUCUCUCUUUCAUUCUGCUCCAGCGAAUAUUGAGUGACUUAUCUGAUUGGUGAGUUUGGCAGUAGCAGUCCAGGCUACUGGGUAGCUCACCCCAUCCUUGGGUACAAGCUACCUGAAACGUAAACACAUUUCUGCUCUGCCCUUGUGAGCAGGAGAGGCUAGUGAUGGUCCAGUGUUGCUUAUGACCUAUGGGCAUGUCUGACUAAUUCUAGGUUUCCAUGUUUAACAGUCUGCUUGCCUGCAGCCAUGAGCCAUGUUCUUCAAAGUCAGCCUCAUUGGUAGCAAAUGUGAUACUUGGUCUCUAUCUGCCUUGCUUCUUUGUCUAAUUUCUUAAUUGGUUUAGAAAUCAGUAUUUAUGGAGAUACUUCCCCCACUACAAUGGCUGGCUUGACUGCCAGCUCCUGGAUAGGAAAAGGAUACUGGACUCCUCUCCUACCUGCCAUAUGUGAUUGACCAUGGGAGCUUGAGCAUGGGGUCCUGGAAGGGGAAGGGAUCGAUGGUAAGACAAGGUAAAGAGAAAUAUUAAUGCACAGGUGCCCUGUGAAGUGUGCUGGACCUCUGGGCUCAGAAAGGACCAAGGGAGCCUCAGGCGAGCCCAGUGGGGAGGGACAGCCUCAGCUUUCCUCCUCUUACUCCCCUGCUCAGAUUCUACAAUAUCUCUGCCCCACUCAGCCAGGCAAGUUAUGGCAAUGGCACAAGCUGGGGGAAGAAGAUCUGGAUUCCUUGCCUAGCUGGGCCACUAAUUUUCUAUGUAAGCCUAACUGAGUUAUGCUCCUCCCCACUCCCACCUCCGCAUUCUGGCCUCAGUUUCGCCAUCUAGAACAAAGAAAUUGUGCUAAAUAAUAUCUUGUAGUGGUUCCUUCUGGCCUUUACGGUUUCCUUAUCUAGAUCAGAGACUCCAGCCUAGGGCUACUUACAGACUUACUUUGUUUGGCCCACGCUGUGUUCUUUUUUU